UUACUAAAACAAAAAAACAAACAAAGACUAUACACGUGUUUCUUAGGUAUACGCCCUAUCAUUAAUUACGAUUAAAUGGAAUGGUAUAGUCAUUAAAAACAGCAGGUUAGAAGUAGUUUAAAUAGUGGGUAACCUUCAAGGUUUAAGGGCGAUACGCUACAGGUUUAGGUGGGUGAAUUGGACAAUUAUAAUGGUUUGAAUGGCGUAAUAACGGGUU
rnacentral:misc_RNA from 1 species